rnacentral:lncRNA from 1 species
AGUCUCCAGAGACCAUCUCCCAUCUCUACAGCGACUCCCCUAUGACCGUCCCCCACCCGGUGCUCUCGGGCCACGGGGAAGGGACACUCGGGAAAGACACCAGAGACCGGGAGGGUGCAGCUGGGCUCUUCGCGGGGAGCGGGCGGGAGGCCUUCCUGUUACAUGUCGCAGCUGGGACACAGACGGCAGCGCUCCAGGGUCCACUUGCCGGCUUCGGUUCCCUCAGGCCCAGGACCAGGCUCCACACCGCUGUCGCGUCCCUUAGCCGUGUGGGCUGUAGCACAGAGGGGGCAAACACCUCCAGGGGCUUGUGCCAAGUAAUUACCAAGCAAAUUCCCGGCGAUUUCCUCUCCUCCCCCCGCCCCCCCGGGCAGUGCCCGCUGCGUGUUCCCUGAUUCGGCCCCCGGCUGUGCAAUCAGCUCCAGGUAACCUGCGGGGACCCGUAAUUGCUCUGGAGUUGCCUGCGAGUUUGCAAGAUGCUCACAAAUAGAAUGGACAACAACACGGGUGACUCACUAAAAUGCUAUAAAAUCCCUGCUGUAAUAUGGACAGGAACAAAAGGCAAUAGAAGCUCAAUGGACCCAACCAGAGGGACACUUUUUAAUGACCAUUCCAGAGCCCAACAUAACCAGAGAAGAGAUUUAUAUCAUGAGGCUGUCAAACUUUCUCAGAUAAAGAGAGUGAUAGACUGAAUAAUCCAGGGUGGUAAGUGUGGGAAGUUCAGAUAACACUAAGGAAGUUAAGAGGAGAAAAAGUCAACAAGGACUGGGCCUACUCAAAGAAGACUUUUUGGGGUCAUGGACCUUGAACUGGGACUUGCUUGGAAGAUGGUAUUUGGAAGAAGAAUACAAAAAGGAAUAAAGGGUUGAGGAGAUUAAGCCAAGAUAAGGAAGUAGGAACAUGCACAAUAUAUUUGGAAACCUGGCCUUCUACACAGAGGGCCUGUGGCCAACUUCUUUUCUACUUCUCUUCAGGUUCCCAGUCACUGAAUUCCAAAGGUUUUUGUUAUAUGGUCCAGACUCAAGGCAUUCCUCUUGGCCUUUGGGCAAAGGAGCCCACCCUUUGUGUUUAUCCCUAAGAAAAAGAGAGAGUAGUCAGAACCCCUGCAGAGAGGUUUGACUCCCGGAAGCAACUGGUGUCCCACUUUAACCCUGGUUUCAAGUCUGGAAAAAACAGAAAACACUUAUUCUUACCUCUCUCCCCACCCCCAGAAGGAUAGAUUAAAAAAACAGAAGGUUAAGGAUUUUGCCAAAUAUGGAAAAAUGCUUUUGGCAUUCAAUGUGGCAAUCAAUCUCUAAAGAAUUAUUCAACAUUUGAUGUUCAUAUCCUCCUCAGUGUUAUCUCUAGAUUUCUCCUUUCAG